GAUCAAACUUCAUUAUUUCAGCAGAUGAAUACAACAACGUCACAUCUGGAUUUCAGCUUGAAGGUCUUGAUAAGAGGAGCAGACAUGAUGGCACAGAGGAGAGCUCUGACUACAAUAAUGUGAAUCCUGAAUCAGCCUCAGGUCCAUAAAAAGAUUAUUUCAACAAAACUCAAGACUCACGAACAACGUCAGCAACAAAAUCCAACUCAGAACAUUUUGACAACGUUUAGAGAACUGCCAGCAUCCAGAUCAACAGCAGUUAUAUUAAACAAUGACAUGCUCUUGGUUUAAUGUCAGCACUGGAAGACUGAUAAUAUGGUUCAUCUUUGUAGUAAAAUCUUACUGUGUUUAUUUCUGUUGUUA